rnacentral:rRNA from 1 species
AACGAACGCUGGCGGCAGGCCUAACACAUGCAAGUCGAACGAGAAGCCACCUUCGGGUGGUGGACAGUGGCAGACGGGUGAGUAACGCGUGGGAACGUGCCUUUCGGUUCGGGAUAACCCAGGGAAACUUGGGCUAAUACCGGAUACGCCCUUCGGGGGAAAGAUUCAUUGCCGAAAGAUCGGCCCGCGUCGGAUUAGCUUGUUGGUGGGGUAAUGGCCUACCAAGGCGACGAUCCGUAGCUGGUCUGAGAGGAUGACCAGCCACACUGGGACUGAGACACGGCCCAGACUCCUACGGGAGGCAGCAGUGGGGAAUAUUGGACAAUGGGCGAAAGCCUGAUCCAGCCAUGCCGCGUGGGUGAAGAAGGCCUUAGGGUUGUAAACCCCUUUCAGCGGGGACGAUAAUGACGGUACCCGCAGAAGAAGUCCCGGCUAACUCCGUGCCAGCAGCCGCAGUAACAC